UUUCAGGAGGAUUUGAUCCUGGUCCAGGAUGAACGCUGGCGGCGUGGAUUAGGCAUGCAAGUCGAGCGGUCCGAUUUUUGUCGGACAGCGGCAAACGAGCUAGUAACACCUUGGCUACCUACCCCAUACACGGAAAUAAUCCGCCGAAAGGCGGACUAAUAUCCGAUGGUUGUCCGACCUCGUGUCGGACUAAAGGUUUAGCGCAAGCUAAGCCGGUAUGGGAGGGGCCUAGGCCCGAUCAGCUUGUUGGUAGGGUAACGGCCUACCAAGGCUACGACCGGUAGGGGAGGUGAGAGCCUGACCCCCAGCGACGGAACUGAGACACGGUCCGUACACCUACGGGUGGCCGCAGUCGAGAAUAUUCCACAAUGGGCGAAAGCCUGAUGGAGCGACGCCGCGUGCAGGAAGACGGCCUUCGGGUUGUAAACUGCUUUUUUAGAGGAAGAAAUCUUCGGAGUGACGGUACUCUAAGAAUAAGGAGUGGCUAACUUCGUGCCAGCAGCAGCGGUAAUACGAAGACUCCAAGCGUUAUCCGAAUUUAUUGGGCGUAAAGCGUCCGUAGGGGGCUUAGUGCGUCCAUUGUUAAAUCUCACCGCCCAACGGUGAGGCUGCAGUGGAUACGGCCAAGCUAGAGGAUACGAGAGGUCUGUGGAACGCACGGUGUAGGGGUGACAUCCGUUGAUAUCGUGCGGAACACCAAAGGCGAAGGCAGCAGACUGGCGUAUUCCUGACCCUGAGGGACGAAAGCGUGGGUAGCGAACGGUAUUAGAUACACCGGUAGUCCACGCCGUAAACGAUGUCGGCUAGCUGUUUCGAGUAUCGACCCUCGAAGUGGCGCAGCUAACGCGUUAAGCCGACCGCCUGGGAAGUACGACCGCAAGGUUAAAACUCAAAGGAAUAGACGGGGGCUCGCACAAGCGGUGGAACAUGAGGUUUAAUUCGAUAGUAAGCGAGGAACCUUACCUGGGCUUGACACUCAGACGAUCGUUUGCUGAAAGGCAGACUUCUGGAGUUUUCUCUGGCGGCUGAGCAGGUGCUGCAUGGUUGCCGUCAGCUCGUGUCUUGAGAUGUACCCUUAAGUGGGGAAACGAGCGCAACCCUUAUUGUCUGUUACAAGUGUCAGACAAAACUGCCCUGAUUCACAGGGAGGAAGGAGAGGAUGACGUCAAAUCCGCAUGGCCCUUUGAUUGCCCAGGGCGACACUCAUGUUACAAUGGCCGGUACAAAGGGUUGCGAAGCCGCGAGGCGGAGCUAAUCUCUAAAAACCGGUCCCAGUUCGAAUCGGAGGCUGAAACUCGCCUCCGUGAAGCCGGAAUCGCUAGUAAUCGCGUAUCAGCCAUGGCGCGGUGAAUACGUUCCCGAGCCUUGUACUCACCGCCCGUCACGUCAAGGGAGCCGGGAGCACCUGAAGCCCAGCCCCAGUUUUAUAAGUUUUUUGUAAAACUGGGGCUGGGUUAGGGUGAGUUCGGUGACAUGGACGAAGUCGUAACAAGGCACGCGUAGCGGAAGCUGUGCGUGGACCAAUUAAAUU
rfam:Candidatus Colwellbacteria bacterium RBG_13_48_8 RBG_13_scaffold_48211, whole genome shotgun sequence.